rnacentral:rRNA from 1 species
UGCACGUCCCUCCUUGUCCGACGCAUACUUGAGGUAGCACUGCGAUGACUGCCACUACAGUUACCUGCUCUACACGGAGCCGCAGCUGCUCGUACGUGACUCCGCCCUUCACCUUUUCCUUAUGUAGCGGUUCGCUUGAGUUACCAUGCUACGACCUCCACCUUCUGCACCGGUUGUACCGCGACAUACAGCUCAGCCUGCUCCGAUCCAUCGAGAGUUUGACACGUCUCAGUUCUAACUACGAUACCAUGGUAAUUACUAAGGUCGACUUCUAUAAACGUUGGACUUCACAAUGUGUUCAAAUGAUAACACGGUUACACAGUAGUACACAAAGGUACUAAAAACGUUUGGAAAUUAUAUAGGGGCCCAAGGAAAAGAAGAUACGAUCUUAACCAAACCUUUUUGACAUACGUUGAUACCGGUACUUUAACAUAAUUCUUAAUACG